rnacentral:lncRNA from 1 species
CGUUUUGGAAGUUAUGGCAGGAUGCGUUUGCCUCGUCGUGCUGAAGGAUGGCCAGCGGAAAAAAGUUUCACUCCCUAACGGUGCCUACGGCGAACUGAUGGAUGCUCUCGCUUCCUUAACCAACAUACAUGACAAGACCUUGAUCCAAAUGUAUGAUGAAGAGCUAGACGACUAUGUUGAUCUUGAGGAAGGAAGUGACGUCCCAAACAAGGCUAAAAUAAAAUUGGCGCGGAAACAAGGCCUUCAUGUUGAUGGUGCCAGCCCUGCGUUGACUUUUGUGCAGAGUGCAGGAGGAGCUGUGGAAAUGGCCGAGCAGAGUGCCGUGACAGAAAACGCACAAAACGUGCAGUCCAUCUAGUCGGUGCCACUGGAAAAGGAACGGGAUUUUUUAGGUUUUGUGCUCCCUUCUUUUGGGCACUACGACGAGGUGCUGAGGAGAAAAAUACAAAUAAAUGGCGCUGUGCGCCGUGCCAUAGUUGACAAGCUCUUUGGCGCAUACAUCAAGAUCGCAUGGAAUCAUGGGUGAUGGCCCUGAGGAACAAGUUCCAACAACACAAGAAAAAAGCUACAAAACUUCUCGGAGGAAAUGCUAAUUCGAAAGAAACGCUGUCUGCCAAAGCAAAUGCAGGCACCAUCUGAAGAAGUGGCAAACAACAAAUUGUGCCGUCUUUUUGACUGCAGCCAUCUUACUACAUAUGGAGAAACCGUUGAGUCCUUGCAAAUUCAUAACGAAAGGCUCCAGAAUAAUGCAGCCUGCCAUGAUAAAGCAACAGGAAGGCCAAGGUUGCGGGCAACAGCACUGGACAGGCAUAAAGAGCUUCGCAGCCUCACCCUGUCGGAUGCUCUUUUACUGUUUCCAUUUCUUGGAACUGAGGCAUUGGAACAAGCCGUGCUCACACCUUGCCUUGUGGAGAAAGGACUUACUCUACACAUUGACGGGGAGCCCGUUUUGAGUGUGCCAUCACUUCUUGCAGGAAUGGCGUGCCUGUUUCCAUCGUUUUGGGUAUUCCAUGUGGAAUACCCAAAAAAAGGCACACAAAAUGCUCACAUUCCUUGAGCAUGCGUUCCUACACUUUUCACACAUGAAGCCGAAUGUCAAAGCUCUGGAACUUAUAAAUGUUUUUUUAAUGAGUAACAUUAAUUUAGUUUCACAAUUUUCUUCAAGUACGUUGUGCAAGCUGGCAUUUUGGACUUCUGUGCCUUGAGAAGAGGUGAAAAAGAAAAUAUGACAGACAAAUGUUAAGAUUGCAUUUUUUUGUGCAAGGUUUUUUUUUCUUAAACCUUGGCCAUGUGUCGCAUGUGGAAUAUGGCGUGCACUUGUACAACCAAUGUGUACAUUUUUUUAUUGCAAACAAGUUCUGCGGUAUCGCACAAGGUGGAGGAAAGAUUAAGAAAGGAAAA